rnacentral:rRNA from 1 species
UACGUAAGGGUGCAAGCGUUACUCGGAAUUACUGGGCGUAAAGCGUGCGCAGGCGGUUAUGUAAGACAGAUGUGAAAUGCCCGGGCUUAACCUGGGAACUGCAUUUGUGACUGCAUGGCUAGAGCUUGGCAGAGGGGGGUAGAAUUCCACGUGUAGCAGUGAAAUGCGUAGAUAUGUGGAGGAACACCGAUGGCGAAGGCAGCCCCCUGGGUCAAGACUGACGCUCAUGCACGAAAGCGUGGGGAGCAAACAGG